UGAAGGUUCCUAUUGCCACCAUUAAUCUAUUAGCCUCUAGAUUUUCCAGGAAGGCUCUUGAAAAUAUACUGUAAGCAGUAACACCUUAAUAGACUAUCAGUGCGAGAAAGUGCUGGCUCUUUUGGAACAGAAUGCUAGCGGCAGAGAUAAAAGUUGACACUUGAACCAAGCUUCGAUGUUUAUAGCGAGUGCUUUUAUUUGAAUAUUGCUGUGAGACUCUGAUCCGGAUAUGUGAGUGACAGAGCUGAAAUUCCUCAGUGCUACACAAGGACAUCGCAGGCAGCCUAUGCAUGUGGAUAACUUGGUACUGAUCUCCAGACCCAUCUUGCAAAUCCAAAAGUUAAAGGGCUCAAGAAGAUCCGCUGCUGCGUCAUUUGGUAUUUACACGGUCAGACAAAUUGUGGACGGUUUUUCUCAAUGGAUGGCACCAUGGUUCUUUCAUAUCAACAAUACAUAAAUUGUCCAGUUUCCCUCCAUUUUUGUCAAUUUUUUCUGGUUUUCAUUUACUUUUACUUAGUCAUUCUGAGCUCUGUGGCUACAAUC